GACGAACGCUGGCGGCGUGCUUAACACAUGCAAGUCGAACGGUGAAGCUCCAGCUUGCUGGGGGGGAUCAGUGGCGAACGGGAGAGUAACGCGUGAGCAACCUAACCCUGCCCCUGGAAUAAGCGAAGGACACGGCAUCUAAUCCUGGAUACGAGAAGCGUCCGCAUGGGCACUUUCUGGAAGGUUUUUAGGUUGGGGCUGGGCUCGAGGCGUAUCAGCCUGUUGGUGGGGUAUUGGGGGAGGAAGGCUACGACGGGUGGCCGGCCUGAGUGGGCGAGCGGCCACGCUGGGACUGAGACACGGCCCAGACUCCUACGGGAUGCAGCAGUGGGGAAUAUUGUACAAUGGGCGCAAGCCGGGUGCAGCGACGCCGUGUGGGUGAUGAAGGCCUUCGGGUUGUAAACCUCGUUCAGCAGGGAAGAAGCGAAAGUGACGGUACCUGCAGAAGAAGCACCGGCUAACUACGUG
rnacentral:rRNA from 1 species